CUAGGAGAUGGGAGGUGCACCGAGGUCCGCGGCCUACGAGACUGGGGUGUGCACCGGCCAGCCGUAAUCUAGGAGACUGGUCACUUCAGUCCAAAGCCUGAGAGAUGCGUCAUUCCUGGCCCCUGUUAGAAUCCCUGAGAUGGCUUUGGACAUUCCAAACAUUGUGGGGAGAGGACAAGAUAAGUGGCACCAGUUAAUUGAUCCAUUGAACAAGACAAACAAGAGGAGCCAUGCCUUAAAAUUGUUGAUCAGGAUAUGUAAGAGAAAAAUUAAGUUAAAGACUUCUUCCUGGUUUUGUAUUUGAUUUUUGAGUCCAAAAUCAACAUGUAUGGCUCUUUUUCC